rnacentral:rRNA from 1 species
CCUACGGGAGGCAGCAGUGGGGAAUAUUGGGCAAUGGGCGCAAGCCUGACCCAGCAACGCCGCGUGAAGGAAGAAGGCUUUCGGGUUGUAAACUUCUUUUGUCAGGGACGAAGAAAGUGACGGUACCUGACGAAUAAGCCACGGCUAACUACGUGCCAGCAGCCGCGGUAAUACGUAGGUGGCAAGCGUUAUCCGGAUUUAGUGGGUGUAAAGGGCGUGUAGGCGGGACUGCAAGUCAGAUGUGAAAACUACGGGCUCAACCUUGGGCCUGCAUUUGAAACUGUAUUUCUUGAGUGCUGGAGAGGCAGACGGAAUUCCUGGUGUAGCGGUGAAAUGCGUAGAUAUUCGGAGGAACACCAGUGGCGAAGGCGGUUUGCUGGACAGUAACUGACGCUGAGGCGCGAAAGCGUGGGGAGCAAACAGGAUUAGAUACCCUUGUAGUC